rnacentral:rRNA from 1 species
UACGUAGGGUGCAAGCGUUAAUCGGAAUUACUGGGCGUAAAGCGUGCGCAGGCGGUUUUGUAAGUCUGUCGUGAAAGCCCCGGGCUCAACCUGGGAAUUGCGAUGGAGACUGCAAGGCUUGAAUCUGGCAGAGGGGGGUAGAAUUCCACGUGUAGCAGUGAAAUGCGUAGAGAUGAGGAGGAACACCGAUGGCGAAGGCAGCCCCCUGGGUCAAGAUGGACGCUCAUGCACGAAAGCGUGGGGAGCAAACAGG